rnacentral:rRNA from 1 species
GACGGAAGGUGCAAGCGUUGCUCGGAAUCACUGGGCGUAAAGGGUGCGUAGGCGGCCGUGCAAGUCUGGCGUGAAAGCCCCGGGCUCAGCCCGGGAAGUGCGCUCGAAACUGCGCGGCUCGAGUGCCGGAGGGGAGAGUGGAAUUCCCGGUGUAGCGGUGAAAUGCGUUGAUAUCAUCAGGAACACCGGUGGCGAAAGCGGCUUACUGGGUCUCUUCUGACGCUGAGAAACGAAAGCUAGGGUAGCGAAGGGG